AGGAAGAAGAGACCAGGAACAGAAACACAAACGUCAAGUUUGUCGCCGUUAACACGAAGAUGGAGUGACUGACACCACUGUGGCUCACUAGAAACCAACAGAGAGAACUAUAUGAGAGCUGCAUGGUGUCAGGAGCCCAAGGUGGGAAGCCCGAAGGUCCACCGGAGGAACCACCUGAGAUCCACCUCAUUAAACCAACACGCUUGCUUCAAUGAAACUGAUCAGU